CAUUCUGUCUCUCACAGUUGAAGUGUACCUCUGGUGCAAAUUACUGACCUCUGUCAUCAUUUUAGGUGGGGGAACUUGCACAAUCGGUGGCUGACUAAAUACUUUUUUGAGUUAGAUUUAAAACCGUUGUAAUUGAUUACAAUGAAUGUUCUCAUAAGAAGAAUUAUUUGAAUUUAGUUACUAUUGUCUUGUUGAAACACAGGUCGCAUAUUUGUGGAAACAACAGGAAACGGAAGUUGUUGUUUCUGUGGUCCCAUCUCAGAUUAGAGGUAACAACUUUGUCAUACGUCACAGUGAGUUCCUGACCCUUAGACCACACAGCUGGCUUGUUGGAGAGGUAUGUAAACUAGUUAUUUAAAAAAAAAAAGUAUUGCAUAAGGUUAACGUUAAAGCUGGGGCAGGACAUUAGUUUUUCCCUACACAUUCAGUAAGUACUACUUUAGAUCGACAUUCCAGGCAUAUCCUCAUGACUGAAUACUGAGUAUACGUAAGUAAAAAAAAUCUUUAUUAACCUUUGUAUUCCAAAACUUUAUCAUGUUUACAAAGUAAUAAAAGGUUAUUUAUUAAACUCCUCAGGUCAUUGAAAGUCUCCUGCACCACUGGGCCAUUCGGCUAAAUCAGGGGAAUAAUAUCUACAUUAUGAACCACUACACGAGCGGUGUGAUCCUCUAUGGAGAGAGAGAACUAAUCAGGAGACAAAGCUUGUCCAAGGUGAACUUUGACAACUACGGAGCCGUUUUAUCCUUUGUGAACAUUGGAAAUAUACACUGGAAGUUUCUGUACAUAAAUGCAGAUGACAGCUGUCUGUAUUUGGUCGAUCCUUCAAGAAACUCUUUGGAGCAGGAAGAGUCUGACCGUGCAGCCAAAAGAGUCCGUGAAUACUUCAAAAUGAGGAGGACAUGCUACAACAAAACAGACUGGGUGAAUGUGAGACUUCGAGGAGGAGUACUGACACAUCCAUUUCAACGGGAUGGUUCUAGCUGAGGAGUAAUGGUCAUCAUGAUGGUCAAAGAAGUAAUGGAAGCAUUCCCAAAUAAACCAGAAAUGACAUUUUUGACGACAAAAAACGAGAUGGCCCAGGCACGAAGGACAUUUGCACAGACAAUACUUGAGGCCUCUGUAUUUGACAGUGACAACAACUGUGCCAUGUGUGCAACGGUGAAACCACCUAAUCCAGGACCCUCCAUCACUGACUGGAUCCAGUGUGAUAACUGCAACCACUGGUUCCAUUCUGAAGGCCUGGACAUGACAAAUGAACAGCUGAGCAGUGCUCAGAAGACAGAGUGGAAGUGUGUGCUUUGUGUAACCUAAUUCCACAUGCAGUGAAAGCUACUUGAAUAAUCUGCUUAUAGUUGUUAUUGGUGUUUUGAGGAACACAUGUGUAAAACACAAUGUGUAUAACAUUCUUGCUUUGUGCUCGUACUUCAAGUAUUUCCUUUUUGAUUUUUUUGGGUUGAUUUGUGUGAUGACAGAUAAUGAAUAACAAUAUAUCUAAACUGUGUAGUAGUAAUAUGAGAAAUCAGUAAUCUGAGAAAUGUAAUUUCUCACCCUGACCGGUUGAGGCAGAUGGCCCCGCCCCUCCCUGAGCCUGGUUCUGCCGGUGGUUUCUUCCUGUUAAAAGGGAGUUUUUCCUUCCCACUGUUGCUCAUAGGGGCUCAUAUGAUUGUUGGGUUUUUCUCUGUAUGUAUUAUUGUAAGGUUUAACUUAUUAUGUAAGUGCCUUAAGGUGGCUAUUGUUGUGAUUAAGCACUGAAUAAAUAAUGUCUAAA
ensembl:lncRNA